ACCAGACUCCUACGGGAGGCAGCAGUGGGGGAUAUUGCACAAUGGGGGAAACCCUGAUGCAGCGACGCCGCGUGGGUGAAGAAGUAUUUCGGUAUGUAAAGCCCUAUCAGCAGGGAAGAAAGAAGACGGUACCUGACUAAGAAGCCCCGGCUAACUACGUGCCAGCAGCCGCGGUAAUACGUAGGGGGCGAGCGUUAUCCGGAUUUACUGGGUGUAAAGGGGGCGCAGACGGCAGCGCAAGCCAGGAGUGAAAGCCCGGGGCCCAACCCCGGGACUGCUCUUGGAACUGCGCGGCUGGAGUGCAGGAGGGGCAGGCGGAAUUCCUGGUGUAGCGGUGAAAUGCGUAGAUGUCAGGAGGAGCACCGGUGGCGAAGGCGGCCUGCUGGACUGCGACUGACGUUGAGGCCCGAAAGCGUGGGGAGCAAACAGGAUUAGAUACCCCAGUA
rnacentral:rRNA from 1 species